rnacentral:rRNA from 1 species
UACGUAGGGUGCGAGCGUUAAUCGGAAUUACUGGGCGUAAAGCGUGCGCAGGCGGCUAUUUUAAGCUUGCUGUGAAAGCCCCCGGGCUUAACCUGGGAACUGCAGUGAGGACUGGAAUGGCUGGAGUGUGGGCAGAGGGGGGUGGGAAUUCCAGCGUGUAGCAGUGAAAUGCGUAGAGAAUGUGGAGGAACACCGAUGGCGGAAG